rnacentral:rRNA from 1 species
CAAAGAAUAUCAACACUUUUGACCUCGGAUCAGGUAGGGAUA